GACGAACGCUGGCGGCGUGCUUAACACAUGCAAGUCGAACAGUGGCGAACGGGUGAGUAACACGUGAGUAACCUGCCCUCCACUUUGGGAUAACUCCGAGAAAUCGGGGCUUAUACUGGAUCGUGGGGGAUGGGCUCGCGGCCUAUCAGUUUGUUGGUGAGGUAGUGGUCACCAAGGCGUGACGGGUAGCCGGCCUGAGCGGGCGACCGGCCACACUGGGACUGAGGCACGGAGCAGUGUGCUACGGGAGGCAGCAGUGGGGAAUAUUGCACAAUGGGGGAGAGGCUAAUGAGGCGACGCCGCGGGGGGGAUGACGGGUUUCGGGUGGUAAACCUCUUUAAGCAAGGAAGCGGUACUUGCAGAAGAAGCGCCGGCUAACUAUGUGCCAGCAGCCGCGGUAAUAC
rnacentral:rRNA from 1 species